rnacentral:rRNA from 1 species
ACUCAAAUGAAUUGACGGGGGCCCGCACAAGCGGUGGAGCAUGUGGUUCAAUUCGAAGCAACGCGAAGAACCUUACCUGGGUUCGAAAUGCAGGUGUAAACCUCAGAGAUGAGGUCCCCUCUUCGGAGGCACCUGUAUAGGUGCUGCAUGGCUGUCGUCAGCUCGUGUCGUGAGAUGUUGGGUUAAGUCCCGCAACGAGCGCAACCCUUGUCCAUAGUUGCUAACGCGUAGUGGCGAGAACUCUAUGGAGACUGCCGGUGAUAAACCGGAGGAAGGUGGGGAUGACGUCAAGUCCUCAUGGCCUUUAUGUCCAGGGCUACACACGUGCUACAAUGGACGGUACAAAGAGUCGCGAUCCCGCAAGGGGGAGCUAAUCUCAAAAAGCCGUUCUCAGUUCGGAUUGUUCUCUGCAACUCGAGAGCAUGAAGCUGGAAUCGCUAGUAAUCGCGGAUCAGCACGCCGCGGUGAAUACGUUCCCGGGCCUUGUACACACCGCCCGU